rnacentral:rRNA from 1 species
AACGAACGCUGGCGGCAUGCCUAACACAUGCAAGUCGAACGAGACCUUCGGGUCUAGUGGCGCACGGGUGCGUAACGCGGGGGAACCUGCCCUUAGGUUCGGAAUAACUCCCCGAAAGGGGUGCUAAUACCGGAUAAUGUCUUCGGACCAAAGAUUUAUCGCCUUUGGAUGGGCCCGCGUUGGAUUAGCUAGUUGGUAGGGUAAAAGCCUACCAAGGCGACGAUCCAUAGCUGGUCUGAGAGGAUGAUCAGCCACACUGGGACUGAGACACGGCCCAGACUCCUACGGGAGGCAGCAGUGGGGAAUAUUGGACGAGGGGCGAAAGCCUGAUCCAGCAAUGCCGCGUGAGUGAUGAAGGCCUUAGGGUUGUAAAGCUCUUUUACCCGGGAUGAUAAUGACAGUACCGGGUGAAUAAGCUCCGGCUAACUCCGUG